rnacentral:rRNA from 1 species
AUACGGAGGAUCCGAGCGUUAUCCGGAUUUAUUGGGUUUAAAGGGAGCGUAGGCGGGAGAUCAAGUCAGCUGUGAAAUGUAGAUGCUCAACAUCUGCACUGCAGUUGAAACUGGUUUUCUUGAGUGCGUAAGGGGCAGGCGGAAUUCGUCGUGUAGCGGUGAAAUGCUUAGAUAUGACGAAGAACACCGAUUGCGUAGGCAGCUGACCAGAUCGCAAAUGACGCUCAUGCACGAAAGUGCGGGGAUCGAACAGGAUUAGAUACCCUGGUAGUCCGCACAGUAAACGAUGAAUACUUGUUUUCGGCGAUAUAAUGUCGGAGGCAAAGCGAAAGCGAUAAGUAUUCCACCUGGGGAGUACGCCGGCAACGGUGAAACUCAAAUGAAUUGGCGGGG